rnacentral:rRNA from 2 species
UGCAGCAACGCCGCGUGAGGGACGACGGCCUUCGGGUUGUAAACCUCUUUUAGCAAGGAAGAAGCGAAAGUGACGGUACUUGCAGAAAAAGCGCCGGCUAACUACGUGCCAGCAGCCGCGGUAAUACGUAGGGCGCAAGCGUUAUCCGGAAUUAUUGGGCGUAAAGAGCUCGUAGGCGGUUUGUCGCGUCUGCUGUGAAAUCCCGAGGCUCAACCUCGGGCCUGCAGUGGGUACGGGCAGACUAGAGUGCGGUAGGGGAGAUUGGAAUUCCUGGUGUAGCGGUGGAAUGCGCAGAUAUCAGGAGGAACACCGAUGGCGAAGGCAGAUCUCUGGGCCGUAACUGACGCUGAGGAGCGAAAGGGUGGGGAGCAAACAGGCUUAGAUACCCUGGUAGUCCACCCCGUAAACGUUGGGAACUAGUUGUGGGGACCAUUCCACGGUCUCCGUGACGCAGCUAACGCAUUAAGUUCCCCGCCUGGGGAGUACGGCCGCAAGGCUAAAACUCAAAGGAAUUGACGGGGACCCGCACAAGCGGCGGAGCAUGCGGAUUAAUUCGAUGCAACGCGAAGAACCUUACCAAGGCUUGACAUAUACGAGAACGCCGUAGAAAUACGGAACUCUUUGGA